CUCUAAUACAAAUUUUAGAUUAUAUAUUUUAAGGAAUAUAUACAGUAAAGGUGUUAGUAUUAAAGAGAUUUAUUCCUUCCUAAUAAAAAGGUAAAAAAGAAACAAUAAAAUAAAUGUUAGUAAAAAGUAUUUUGAAUAUAUUUAUUUUAU
rnacentral:ncRNA from 12 species